rnacentral:rRNA from 1 species
GAUGAACGCUGGCGGCGUGCCUAAUACAUGCAAGUCGAGCGAACAGGCGAGGAGCUUGCUCCUCUGACGUUAGCGGCGGACGGGUGAGUAACGCGUGGAUAACCUACCUAUAAGACUGGGAUAACUUCGGGAAACCGGAGCUAAUACCGGAUAAUAUAUUGAACCGCAUGGUUCAAUAGUGAAAGACGGUUUUGCUGUCACUUAUGAUGGAUCCGCGCCGCAUUAGCUAGUUGGUAAGGUAACGGCUUACCAAGGCAACGAUGCGUAGCCGACCUGAGAGGGUGAUCGGCCACACUGGAACUGAGACACGGUCCAGACUCCUACGGGAGGCAGCAGUAGGGAAUCUUCCGCAAUGGGCGAAAGCCUGACGGAGCAACGCCGCGUGAGUGAUGAAGGUCUUCGGAUCGUAAAACUCUGUUAUUAGGGAAGAACAAAUGUGUAAGUAACUAUGCACGUCUUGACGGUACCUAAUCAGAAAGCCACGGCUAACUACGUG